rnacentral:tRNA from 1 species
GGGCCUCUAGCUCAUGCUUGGUUAGAGCAGCGGGCUCAUAACCCUUUGGUGCCGCGCUCGACUCGCGGGAGACCCA